CUGCCAUUCUCACAGCUGCCUUCGGACCACGGAUUAAAUAACAAAGGAUAGCGGGGUGACUCCUAGGAUUACCAUGUUCUUCUCUCUCAUUCUCUGCUUCAGCACUUUGCUGGGGUAUGCAGCUACCAAUCAUGAGGAGGUUGCAGUUGUGCCCGGCAAUUUUCUUAAAUCAGCUUCAGAAUCACGUGCUCAACUAGUAUUUCAGCAGUACCUGGUUGCACUGUCGAACGGUA